UACGGAGGAGGCAAGCGUUAUCCGGAAUUAUUGGGCGUAAAGCGUCCGCAGGUGGCACUUCAAGUCUGUCGUCAAAGACUGGGGCUUAACCCUGGAAAGGCGAUGGAAACUGAAGCGCUAGAGUGCGGUAGGGGUGGAGGGAAUUCCCGGUGUAGCGGUGAAAUGCGUAGAGAUCGGGAAGAACAUCGGUGGCGAAAGCGCUCUACUGGACCGCAACUGACACUCAGGGACGAAAGCUAGGGGAGCGAAUGGG
rnacentral:rRNA from 1 species